CCUGGUGGCUCAGAGGUUAAAGCGUCUGCCUGGAAUGCAGGAGACCUAGGUUCAAUCCCUGGGUCAGGA
rnacentral:tRNA from 1 species